rnacentral:rRNA from 1 species
UGCUUGGGAAUAUGCCUUUAGGUGGGGACGAACAGUUGGAAACGACUGCUAAUACCGCAUAUUGUCUACGGACUAAAGAAGGGCUUCGGCUCUCGCCUUUAGAGAAGCCCAAGUGGGAUUAGGUAGUUGGUGAGGUAAAGGCUCACCAAGCCGACGAUCCCUAGCUGGUCUGAGAGGAUGAUCAGCCACACUGGAACUGAGACACGGUCCAGACUCCUACGGGAGGCAGCAGUGGGGAAUAUUGGACAAUGGGCGCAAGCCUGAUCCAGCAAUGCCGCGUGAAUGAUGAAGGCCUUAGGG